rnacentral:tRNA from 1 species
GGGGUUGUGGCUCAGAGGUAGAGCACUCGCCUAGCAUGCGUGAGGCACUGGGUUUAAUCCUCAGCACCACA